rnacentral:lncRNA from 1 species
UAUCAUUAUAAAAAUUAUCCAUUCCUUACGAAAACAUUUUAUAUAGUCGUCAAGAGUGACCACGUGACAAAAAAAUAUUGCCCAUUAACUGAGUUUUUGCCUAUAUAAACAACCUGAGCUAUAUACUCUUCAGUUUCAUCAUAAACAGCUAUUCUGCUUUUAAGAUAAUAUUUUCUCAUCUUUCUUAUACUAUUUACAAGAAGAGAAUGGCCCCGACUCUUGUUGCAAAUGCUACCAAUGGCGAAAAGGAGAUUGUUCGUCCAGUCGCCAAUUUCUCUCCCAGUUUAUGGGGUGAACAGUUCAUCAAUUUUGUUUUUGAUGCUGAGGUAUCGAUCCCUAUAUAUGUUUUAGAUUUUUUAUUUAUUUAUGUGUUUGUGGCUCUGUAAUAUAAUGACUAAUGCAAAUCGUUUUAGUUUACGAAAAAUUGAAGUCAUUUAUCAAUUCGUAUGGCACUCCAAAUUUCCUCGAAGUUUUAACUUUUUCAGCAUAAAACAAGAUUUUUUCCGUUUGCUUAUAAAAGGUAGCUUUAAAUGACACGUAAUGAAUCAUCCUGGAAAUUAAUAGGAAAAUACUGCAUGGCUAGUGCCUUUAAUUCAGUUCAUCAUUUUACUACUGAUACCAAGUUAUUGAUCCUUCCCAUCAUUUUCUUCAAUGGAUUCAGUUAAGUCACGUCAUCGAUCUUGUUUUCUCAUGUCUAGUUUUCAUUAAGAAAAAAAUAUUUUUUCCCAUUUGUAAGGAUUUGAGUUCUAAUUUGUGAAAGAAUACAUCAGAUCGUUUUAACCGGGAAUUUCAAACUGCAAACUCUUUAGUAUGUAUGUUAAUAAAAGGAUUGAAACAACAUUUGCUUAUAAUACGUUGUCCUUGUGGAAUCAUGUAGUUAACAGAGAAAUAUGACAAGGAGAUUGAAGGGCUUAAGAAUGACGUGAAAAGCAUGCUAACAGCUCCUGGAAAAGACAUGGUGGAGACUAUGAAUUUGAUCGAAACACUUGAGCGCUUGGGCAUCUCAUAUCACUUUGCAAACGAGAUUGAAGAACUACUAGAUCAUUUCUUUAAUCUCAACUCAAACUAUGCAGAUGAAGCCUAUGAUUUAUACACCGUUGCACUUCAUUUUCGUUUAUUUAGACAACAUGGCCACCGUAUAUCUUGUGAUGUCUUUAAAAAAUUCAUAGACGAGACUGGAAAAUUCAAAGAGUCUAUUAAGAGCGAUGCAAUAGGAUUGUUGAGCUUAUAUGAAGCAGCAUAUUUAAGAGUGCAUGGAGAAGAUAUACUAGAAGACGCUCUCGCUUUUACAACAGAAAACCUGAAAUCCAUGGCACCAAAUCUAAGCUCUACCCUUGGGAAACAAGUAGCUCAUUCCCUUGUUCAAUGCAUCCAUUUUGGGAACCCAAGAAUUGAGGCACGUAACUUUAUCUCCAUCUACCAAGAAGAUGAGUCCAGGAAUGAAAUGCUUCUGAGGUUUGCCAAAUUGGACUAUAAUUCAUUGCAGAUGUUGCAUAAAAAGGAGCUCUAUGAAGUAUCAAGGUAAUGUUCAAUUGACAAGUUCAUAAGAUUAAAACCUCUAAGUAUGUAUGUGUGUGUGUACGUCAAUUAAUAACAUGCUUCUUAUAUAUAUUGCAGGUGGUGGAAGGAUUUGGACCUUGUUUCUAAGCUUCCAUAUGCUAGAGACCGAGUUGUAGAAUGUUUUUUCUGGGCUAUGGGAGUUUAUCAUGAACCUCAAUAUUCCAUUGCUCGAAUCAUGCUCACCAAAACCAUUGCAAUGACGUCAAUAAUAGAUGAUACAUAUGACGCCUAUGGUGUAGUUGAAGAACUUGAAAUUUUUACGGAUGCCAUUCAAAAGUACAUAUUUCUUUUAUUCCAUGCAUCACUAAUAGUAAAAAAUAUUUUUUUUUUGUUAUAUUAAUCAAUUGUGUACUCGUGAUUGCAAUCAUUCUAGGUGGGAUAUUAGUGAGAUUCAUCGGCUACCAGAGUAUAUCAAACCAUUUUACAGUGCUCUUCUAAAUCUUUAUGAGCAAUUUGAUGAAGAACUAUCGAAAGAAGGACGAUCUUAUGCCAUCUACUAUGCAAAAGAAGCGGUUAGUGUUACUUUUUAAUAUUACUCCUCGAUUAUGUUAUUCCUAUUUUUCUUGCUUUCUAUUAUCUUUCUUAUACCUAAGUUUCCCUGGUUAACUCACACAUGUCAUAAAAAAAUUGUUCAGCUAAAAGAACUUGUAAGGACAUACUAUGUAGAAGCCAAGUGGUUUAUUGAAGGAUACUUGCCACCAUUUUCGGAGUACAUGAGCAAUGCCUUAAUAACGUGCACUUAUGUGUAUCAUACAACUACAUCCUUAUUGGGGAUCAAAUCCGUUACCAAGGAAGAGUUUGAGUGGCUAAGCAAAAAACCUAAAAUGCUUGUUGCAAGCCUCAUAAUAUGUCGGCUCGUUGACGAUAUAGCGACCUAUGAGGUAUGGAAUACAAAAAUUUUGUUGUAAGUAAACAUCAAUUCCACUAAUAAAUAACUUUAUUUCCCUUAUUUAAGAGUUUUCUCCACAUUUUGUCUCAUUAAAGGUUGAGAAGGGAAGGGGCCAAAUUGCUACCGGCAUUGAAUCGUACAUGAAGGAAAAUGGUGUGACAAAAGAAGUGGCUGUUGAUAAAUUUUUUGAAAUGGUUGCAAAUGCAUGGAAGGAUAUUAAUGAAGAAUGUUUCCGACCAAGUUCCUCUCCAAGAGAAAUUUUGAUGCGAAUUCUAAAUCUUGAACGCAUUAUAGAUGUCACUUAUAAAGGCAAUGAAGAUGGAUAUACACAACCACAAAAAGUUCUAAAGCCUCACAUCAUUGCUUUGUUUAUUGAUCCCAUCGAGGUCUAAGUACUAUUUGGGAUCAGGUUGGACAAAAAUGGAUAUCUUUAAAUUUUAAUUUGUUUUACUUUUAUGUAAAAUCGUUGAGUAUGUUUGCAAUAAAAUUCUAAUGUACUUCCUUUUCAAAGUCAUUUAUUCUUCGAUAUUAUUGACAUUCACGAUCAAAAUUAAUGCAACGAACUGGAUGCCUUCCCUUACCAGUGACAACAGAGAAACGAGGCAAAAUUCAAC